UACGAAGGGGGCGAGCGUUGUUCGGAUUUACUGGGCGUAAAGGGCGCGCAGGCGGCUCAUUUUGUCAGGCGUGAAAGCCCCGGGCUUAACCUGGGAACUGCGUUUGAUACGGAUGGGCUAGAGUUCGGGAGAGGAGAGUGGAAUUCCCAGUGUAGAGGUGAAAUUCGCAGAUAUUGGGAGGAACACCGAUGGCGAAAGCAGCCAACUGGACGAUAACUGACGCUGAGAUACGAAAGCGUGGGGAGCAAACAGG
rnacentral:rRNA from 1 species